rnacentral:rRNA from 1 species
GUUCGCUUUUCCCUCGUCCUCGGGACAUUAAGGUGCUCUGGUCGAGGAUAAAYGACCCCUCUGACCGAGGUCAAACCYGUCGCUCUGUGUUACCUCWAAAAAAWUUUUUCCGAGGCACACCUUAAAGAUCGUUCCGCAUUGUGAGUCUAACACCAGUUGUAUAAACUUUUUACAACCGGUAGCGCUGGAUCCCUUGGCACGUCAUUCGAUGAAGACCGUUGCAAAUUGCGAUAAAGUGAUGUGAUGCGCAAGUCCACCACUUAUACGUGAAUCAUCGAGUUGUUGAACGCAUUGCACCGCGCCCUAAUCCGGCUGCGGUAUGCCCCUUUGAGCGUCAUUGUAUUCCUUCGGGAGUCCUUUUACAAGGACCCGAGUUCGGAGUCCUCGGUCCCCUGUGGAUCGUGUUCUCUCAGAUSCSUCGCACCGAUCGCCUGAUGGGUCCUCUAAUGCCUAAGCGUGGAGKUCCUUCAGAGUCCGAGAGGUGCUUGACCGAGUCUUGAGCUCGUGUCACCAAGUCUGCCUAACAGCAGUACUACAACCCAUGACCUCAUUGGGGUAGGACAACCCGCUAGACUUAAGCAUAUUAAUCAGCGGAGGAAAAGAAACUAACCAGGAUUCCCUCAGUAACUGCGAGUGAAGCGGGAUCGGCUCAAUGUGUGAAUCUGGCUUGGGGUACAUCCCGGGUUCGAGUUGUGCACUAUGGAUGCUUCGUCUGCGUUUGUAAAGGCRGUGGAAGUCCGUUGAAACACGGCACCUCAGAGGGUCACAGUCCUGUACCACCUGCCUGCACUCGCGCCAAUGACAAGUGCUCCUCGAGUCGCGUAGUUUUGUAAUGCUGCGCCAAGUGGGAGGUAGAGACCUUCUAAGGCUAAAUAUGAUGACGUGACCGAUAGCACACAAGUACCGCGAGGGAAAGGUGAAA